rnacentral:rRNA from 1 species
AAGAACAAGGUCUCCGUUGGUGAACCAGCGGAGGGAUCAUUACCGAGUUUACAACUCCCAAACCCAAUGUGAACGUUACCAAACUGUUGCCUCGGCGGGAUCUCUGCCCCGGGUGCGUCGCAGCCCCGGACCAAGGCGCCCGCCGGAGGACCAACCAAAACUCUUUUUGUAUACCCCCUCGCGGGUUUUUUAUAAUCUGAGCCUUCUCGGCGCCUCUCGUAGGCGUUUCGAAAAUGAAUCAAAACUUUCAACAACGGAUCUCUUGGUUCUGGCAUCGAUGAAGAACGCAGCGAAAUGCGAUAAGUAAUGUGAAUUGCAGAAUUCAGUGAAUCAUCGAAUCUUUGAACGCACAUUGCGCCCGCCAGUAUUCUGGCGGGCAUGCCUGUCCGAGCGUCAUUUCAACCCUCGAACCCCUCCGGGGGGUCGGCGUUGGGGAUCGGCCCUGCCUCUUGGCGGUGGCCGUCUCCGAAAUACAGUGGCGGUCUCGCCGCAGCCUCUCCUGCGCAGUAGUUUGCACACUCGCAUCGGGAGCGCGGCGCGUCCACAGCCG